rnacentral:tRNA from 1 species
GAGGGUAUAGCUCAGUGGCAGAGCACGUGCUUGCACGAGGUCCUGGGUCCUGGGUUCAACCCCUAGUACCUCCA